rnacentral:rRNA from 1 species
GAGUUUGAUCCUGGCUCAGGAUGAACGCUGGCGACGUGGAUAAGGCAUGCAAGUCGAGGGCCUCUUCGGAGGACCGGCAGACGAGGUAGUAACACGUAGGAACGUACCCCAAUCUCAGGGACAGCCCAUCGAAAGAUGGAUUAAUACCUGAUAGUCUCGCAAGAGUAAAGCUCCGGCGGAUUGGGAACGGCCUGCGUAGUAUCAGCUUGUUGGUAGUGUAAAGGACUACCAAGGCUAUGACGCUUAGGGGAGGUGAGAGCCUGACCCCCACCGAUGGAACUGAGACACGGUCCAUACACCUACGGGUGGCCGCAGUCGAGAAUCUUCCACAAUGGACGAAAGUCUGAUGGAGCGACGUCGCGUGAUUGAUGAAGUACUUCGGUAUGUAAAGAUCUUUUAUGAGUGAAGAAGUUUAUUGACAUUAGCUCAUGAAUAAGGGGUUGCUAAACUCGUGCCAGCAGCAGCGGUAAUACGAGUACCCCAAGCGUUAUCCGGAAUCAUUGGGCGUAAAGGGUGCGUAGGUGGCAGUAUUAGUCUUUUGUUAAAUCUCGGGGCUCAACCCCGAUCCUGCAAAAGAAACGGUACAGCUAGAGGAUGUGAGAGGUAUACGGAACUCAUGGUGUAGGGGUGAAAUCCGUUGAUAUCAUGGGGAACACCAAAUGCGAAGGCAGUAUACUAGCACACUCCUGACACUGAGGCACGAAAGCGUGGGUAGCGAAAGGGAUUAGAUACCCCUGUAGUCCACGCCCUAAACGAUGAUAACUGGCUUUUCGGAGUAUCGACCCUCUGAGAGGCGAAGCUAACGCGUUAAGUUAUCCGCCUGGGAAGUACGGCCGCAAGGCUAAAACUCAAAGGAAUAGACGGGGAUUCGCACAAGCGGUGGAUCAUGUGGUUUAAUUCGAUGAUACACGAAGAACCUCACCAAGACUUGAAACUGAAGUGACGAUUUUAGGAAACUAAUUUCUUCUCACAAGGACUCUUCAGCAGGUACUGCAUGGCCGUCGUCAGUUCGUGGCUUGAGCUGUUCCCUUAAGUGGGGAAACGAACGCAACCCUCAUCGUCUGUUAUACGUGUCAGGCGAGACUGCCUCUUUCAUGAGGAGGAAGGAGAGGAUGACGCCAGGUCAGCAUGGUCCUUUGAUGUCUUGGGCUACACACAUGAUACAAUGGCUACUACAGCGGGUCGCGACGGGGUAACCCUGAGCUAAUCCUCAAAGGUAGCCUAAGUUCGGAUUGAGGUCUGAAACUCGACCUCAUGAAGUUGGAAUCGCUAGUAAUGGUAGGUCAGCUAUACUACCGUGAAUACGUUCUCGAAUCUUGUACUCACCGCCCGUCAAUGCAAGGGAGCCGGGAGUGCCCGAAGUGCGUGCUUGUCACGUCCUACGGUAAACUCGGUAACAGGGCAUAAGUCGUAACAAGGUAACC